CGUUCCCAUACCGAACACGGAAGUUAAGCUUCUCAGCGCCGAUGGUAGUUGGGACUUUGUCCCUGUGAGAGUAGGACAUUGCCAGGC
rnacentral:rRNA from 1 species